CCGACCGUGAAGGCAGCAUUAGUUUGAGUCACAUGACAGGCCAGCUUCCCCGACUGCUCUGAUAUACAUCUAACGUUAAUAAUCAUGCCAACCACACAGCAGUCUCCCCAGGAUGAACAGGAGAAGCUUCUAGAUGAAGCUGUGCAGGCUGUCAAGGUCCAGUCCUUCCAGAUGAAGCGUUGCUUGG